rnacentral:rRNA from 1 species
GAUGAACGCUGGCGAGAUGCUUUACACAUGCAAGUCGUACGAGAGUUUUAAACUCAAGUGGCGGACGGGUGAGUAACACGUAAGAAUUUGCCUCUAGGAGGGGGACAACAGACAGAAAUGACUGCUAAUACCCCAUAUGCUUUCGAGUGAAAUGGAUUUUUCCGCCUAGUAGAGAAGCUUGCGGCUGAUUAGCUUGUUGGUAGGGUAAUGGCUUACCAAGGCGACGAUCAGUAUCUGGUUUGAGAGGAUGAUCAGACACACUGGAACUGAGACACGGUCCAG